rnacentral:tRNA from 1 species
CUUGGCUUGGCAGAUAAAUGCCACUGAUUUAGGAUCAGUUCAUAGCACAUAGUGCUAGUCGGAG